CCUGGAAGUCCCACCGAGACCCUAUUGAAGAUCCCCUUUGUGCCAAAGCCUGAGACCCUCAAUUCAGAAAUGGGGAGCCACCGUGGCCUGCAAUGAUGAGAUUAACUUACUGAGUCAAGUCCAGUACUGACCCAGUGGCAGGGGCGUGACUCCCGUGACCUCCAGAGUUUGGUCUGUGACACCACAGCAGGAAGGGCUGGCCACUGCAGCACCACACCCUCCAG
rnacentral:lncRNA from 1 species